ACGCCUUAUACAUGCAAGUCGAACGAAGUAGCAAUACUUAGUGGCAGACGGGUGAGUAACAUGUGGGUAUCUUCCCUUUGGUGAGGAAUAACACGAGGAAACUUGUGCUAAUACCUCAUAAGUCUUUACGGAGAAAGCUUUAUGCGCCGAAGGAUGAGCCCGCACUUGAUUAGUUUGUUGGUGGGGUAAUGGCCUACCAAGACUAUGAUCAAUAGCUGAUCUGAGAGGAUGAUCAGCCACAUUGGGACUGAGACACGGCCCAAACUCCUACGGGAGGCAGCAGUAGGGAAUAUUGCACAAUGGAGGAAACUCUGAUGCAGCGAUGCCGCGUGAGUGAAGAAGGCCUUUGGGUUGUAAAGCUCUUUCGUCGGGGAAGAAAAUGACUGUACCCGAAUAAGAAGGUCCGGCUAACUUCGUGCCAGCAGCCGCGGUAAUACGAAGGGACCUAGCGUAGUUCGGAAUUACUGGGCUUAAAGAGUUCGUAGGUGGUUAAAAUAGUUGGUUGUGAAAUCCCGGAGCUUAACUCCGGAACUGCAAUCAAAACUUUUUAGCUAGAGUAUGAUAGAGGAAAGCAGAAUUUCUAGUGUAGAGGUGAAAUUCGUAGAUAUUAGAAAGAAUACCAAUUGCGAAGGCAGCUUUCUGGAUCUUUACUGACACUGAGGAACGAAAGCAUGGGUAGCGAAGAGGAUUAGAUACCCUCGUAGUCCAUGCCGUAAACGAUGUGUGUUAGACGUUGGAAAUUUAUUUUCAGUGUCGCAGCGAAAGCAGUAAACACACCGCCUGGGGAGUAC
rnacentral:rRNA from 1 species